rnacentral:rRNA from 1 species
CCUACGGGUGGCUGCAGUGGGGAAUAUUGGACAAUGGGCGAAAGCCUGAUCCAGCCAUGCCGCGUGUGUGAAGAAGGCCUUCGGGUUGUAAAGCACUUUCAGUGGGGAAGAAAGCCUUGGGGCUAAUACCCUCGAGGAAGGACAUCACCCACAGAAGAAGCACCGGCUAACUCCGUGCCAGCAGCCGCGGUAAUACGGAGGGUGCGAGCGUUAAUCGGAAUUACUGGGCGUAAAGCGCGCGUAGGCGGUCUGAUAAGCCGGUUGUGAAAGCCCCGGGCUCAACCUGGGAACGGCAUCCGGGACUGUCAGGCUAGAGUGCAGGAGAGGAAGGUAGAAUUCCCGGUGUAGCGGUGAAAUGCGUAGAGAUCGGGAGGAAUACCAGUGGCGAAGGCGGCCUUCUGGACUGACACUGACGCUGAGGUGCGAAAGCGUGGGUAGCAAACAGGAUUAGAUACCCGGGUAGUC